GCUGGGCCGGGUGGUGCAUCCCUGUAGUCUCAGCUGCUCAGGAGGCUGAGGUGGGAGGAUGGCUUGAGUCCAGGAGUUCUGGGAUGCAGUGCACUAUGCUGAUUGGUAUCUAUACUAAGUUUGGCAUCACUAUGGUGACCUCCCGGGAGGGGACUACCAGGGUGCCUAAGGAGGGGUGAACCGACCCAGGUCAGAAAUGGAGCAGGUCAAGUGUGAUAACCUCAGGGAAAUGGAACAAAGAGAAAACAGUACAGCCAUUUCAACUGUUAUCUACUUUACCUUGCAAUUAUUUCAACUUUU
rfam:Fukomys damarensis contig155427, whole genome shotgun sequence.